rnacentral:rRNA from 1 species
UACGUAGGGUGCAAGCGUUGUCCGGAAUUAUUGGGCGUAAAGAGCUCGUAGGCGGUUUGUCGCGUCGAAUGUGAAAACCCGGGGCUCAACCCCGGGCCUGCAUUCGAUACGGGCAGACUAGAGUUCGGUAGGGGAGUCUGGAAUUCCCGGUGUAGCGGUGAAAUGCGUAGAUAUCGGGAGGAAUACCAGUGGCGAAGGCGGCCUUCUGGACGGAUACUGACGCUGAGGCGCGAAAGCGUGGGGAGCGAACAGG